rnacentral:misc_RNA from 1 species
GCAAUUUGUUACUACAUCU